rnacentral:tRNA from 1 species
AAGCUAGAAGUAAAUAAAUACAUUCAGUUUCGACCUGAAAUAAGUGAAUAAUUCACCACGCUAU